rnacentral:lncRNA from 1 species
AGCGAUUGAGCGACUUCACUUUCACUUUUCCCUUUCAUGCACUGGGGAAGGAAAUGGCAACCCACUCCAGUGUUCUUGCCUGGAGAAUCCCAGGGACGGGGGAGCCUGGUGGGCUGCCGUCUCUGGGGUCGCACAGAGUCAGACACGACUGAAGCGACUUAGCAGCAGCAGCACUCUUAAUGCUUUCUAAUAUGGUACAGGUUGAAAUACUCAAUGAUUACUUAGGCCUGUUAAACGACACUUCCUUGAAUGAAGUGGACUAAUACUUUCCCAGAUUAACUUCCGAUUCCAGAAUGUUACUUUUACAUUAAUGGAUGUCUUCAACUCUUGUCCUUUCCAGAACUCUGAUUUCUGCCCAUAUGUUAACACUAACCCAAUUUUGCUGCCAGGCUAUUCAGGUUUUCUUAGGUCAAAAAUCUAAAAUUUCUUUUAAGCUUUAAAAAAAGACUGUUUUUCCCCCAAGGCAACAAAACCUCAGUAUCAUCAUUUAAAAAAUAUAUGAAAUGAAAAUAACAUAUGGAAAGAGCCUGAUGCAGAACUAAAGGAAGCCUGCAGGAAGCGGUGAUCCCUCUGCUGGCCACCUAAACUUGGCCAAGUCUGCACUUGUUCACCAAUAUCACCUUGGGGAACAGCACUACCCAGGUUCAUGGGUUUCUUCCUCAAUGGAGGUCAGCCAGGGAGUUACAGGGCUGCUACUUAAUCGUUCCCUUUCCUUAACCUUCUUUUCCUCUUGAGGGCAGAGUCUGGGGACUCUCAGUAAACCCCUUGACAGGAAAGCUGGCAGGUGGGUAGCACCCCAUGCUGGCCCCUCCGCUUUAUAGGCCUGUUGCCUCUGAAGAAAACCUCACACAGGCCACGACUUGUGUUUUUCCCGCUUCACCGCAGUGGAAGGAAGAGAACGCCACUGGGAGACAAUCCGCGGUACCAAAGAAACCUCCCUCUUUUCUGAUAUGGCUCUCUCCCAGUCCACAGCCUGAAGCCAUCUCCGGGACCUCAUUUCUGCCUAGCAACAUCACAACCAAUCAAGAUGCAACUAGGCCUGGCAGUUCGGCUCAUCCUUCACUGGGAUUGGCUGCUGGCGGUGAGCGCAUCCUAAGUUUUCAUUGGCUGACGGCCACCUGUAUGGAAAUGAGAAUGACAGGGGACUCUCAGCGCCUUCUCUGCUACGUGGACCUGUGGCUUACUGCACUGAAACCUGCAAGCUCAGAGCCAGAACUCCUGGGCUUUUUUCUGCCUUCUCUCCU